UACGGAGGGUGCAAGCGUUAUCCGGAUUCACUGGGUUUAAAGGGAGCGUAGGCGGAAUAAUAAGUCAGUGGUGAAAGCCCCGGGCUCAACUUGGGAAUUGCCAUUGAUACUGUUAUUCUUGAGUUCGGUUGAGGUAGGCGGAACGUUGCAUGUAGCGGUGAAAUGCUUAGAUAUGCAACAGAACACCGAUUGCGAAGGCAGCUUACCAAGCCGACACUGACGCUGAGGCUCGAAAGCGUGGGGAUCAAACAGG
rnacentral:rRNA from 1 species